ensembl:lncRNA LINC01151 long intergenic non-protein coding RNA 1151
GGGAAAAAACCCCAUAGGACCGGCUCAGCUUCCCGAGGCUGGAGGGUGAGGCUGCCCCCUAGUGGCUGAAGUUCACGACCGGACGGACGUUCAAGGAGUCCCGGGCGUUCCAAUGCUUUCUCCCAGGAAGUGGGCUCUGCAGGCUGGAGUUGCCCUAGUGUCAGGGUGAAGGCUGGGAGCCAACGUCUAAUCAUCAAGGUGAUGGAACUCUGAGGGCUGAAGAUGGGAAAUGUGCCAACGUCACAACAAGGUUUGAGGGAGGCACAUCUCAUGCUCGGACAUGAACACCCGAUCAUCAUGCUUAUGAACUACAAAAGGAUCUCCAGUAUGGGCUCACGGCAGUUGGCCCUUGAAUAACAUGAAUUUGAACUGCCUGAGUCUGCUAAUAUGUGGAUUAUCUUCUGCUUCUGCACCCUGAGACAGCAAGACCAACCCUUCCUCUUGCUUCUUUUCCUUAGCCUAUUCAACGUGAAGAUGACUAAGUUAUUCUUUGUCAGGAGGUUCUUCCGGGAAGCUCCUCCAGGCGGUUACUCAGGAAUCCAUCUACCUUGUGCUCCACCAUGUUUAACACAUUGUUUCAAGUUUGCUCUGGUGUCAUCAGCUGACAGAUGAGAAGACAGAAGCAUGGAGAAGGUAUAUCGAUAUUGUUCUUAACCACUUUGGCCUGGAAGGACACAUCACUUUUUUUCACCUUCCUUGGGCUAAAACCAAUCACAUGGCCUCAUCCAAAUGCAGAGUGUUGGAAAUGUUAACAGUGUUUCCAGGAAGAAGAAAUGGGUUUGCUGAGCAUCUAGGCAGUCUCUGCUUACUAACACACUACUCGGACUAACAUACUGGCCCAAUAGCAGGUGAGAGUUCCAAGUACAGAACUGUUUUUUCUUGAUCAUCAAUUCUAUUGUUCAUCCAAAAAGAAAGUAAGAGGCACUGGUCCUCAAAGUUCUUGCUUCUAUAUAACCUAAAUGUAUUACGAAAAAUUAUGUACUCCCUUACGUGUUUCUUAAAUUGACUUAUGCAUUUUUUCUUCAUAAAUUUAAAUAGUAUCAAAGGAUGAA